AAGAGGGAUUGCCCUAGUAACGGCGAAGUGAAGCGGCAACAGCUCAAAUUUGAAAUCUGGCUCUCGGGCCCGAGUUGUAAUUUGUAGAGGAUGCUUUUGAUGCGGUGCCUUCCGAGUUCCCUGGAACGGGACGCCAUAGAGGGUGAGAGCCCCGUCUGGUUGGAUGCCAAAUCUCUGUAAAGCUCCUUCGACGAGUCGAGUAGUUUGGGAAUGCUGCUCUAAAUGGGAGGUAUAUGUCUUCUAAAGCUAAAUACCGGCCAGAGACCGAUAGCGCACAAGUAGAGUGAUCGAAAGAUGAAAAGCACUUUGAAAAGAGAGUUAAAAAGUACGUGAAAUUGUUGAAAGGGAAGCGUUUAUGACCAGACUUGGGCUUGGAUAAUCAUCUGGGGUUCUCCCCAGUGCACUUUUCCAGUCCAGGCCAGCAUCAGUUUUCGCCGGGGGAUAAAGGCUUCGGGAAUGUGGCUCUCUCCGGGGAGUGUUAUAGCCCGUUGCGUAAUACCCUGGCGGGGACUGAGGUUCGCGCAUCUGCAAGGAUGCUGGCGUAAUGGUCAUCAACGACCCGUCGAAA
rnacentral:rRNA from 1 species